UCAUAAUUUUUCCAAUCUGCUGUUCGUUGUCCACUUGCUUUCCCAAUGCGUGAAGAUUAUUCACAAUGUGUGUGAAUCUGGUUUGCAGAUCGCUGAUGGAUUCGUCCUUUUUCAUGCUGAAUAAUUCGUAUUCGUGCAUAAGUGUGUUUACGCGAGCUCUCUUCACAUUUGUGGUUCCUUCAUGUGUUUCUUGAAGAAUGUCCCACAUUUCUUUUGGUUACUUGCAGUUUGAUACUCUAAAGAAUUCUUCUGCACAAAGAGCAGAUGUUAUAAUGUUCUUAGCCUUAGCAUUAUAACCUACCUUUUUUUUGUCGUCAUCAGACCAGUCGGCUCUAGGCUUGAGAAUCAUUGAGUCAUUUGUUCCUGCAAUCUUGGGAAUAUAUGGACCGUUUUCAACAGCGUCAAGGAUGUCUAUGCCACUGGCUUCCAGGAAUAUCAGCA
rnacentral:lncRNA from 1 species